UACGUAGGGUGCGAGCGUUGUCCGGAAUUACUGGGCGUAAAGAGCUCGUAGGCGGUUUUGUCGCGUCUGCUGUGAAAACUCGGGGCUUAACUCCGGGCCUGCAGUGGGUACGGGGCAGACUAGAGUGCGGUAGGGGAGACUGGAAUUCCUGGUGUAGCGGUGAAAUGCGCAGAUAUCAGGAAGAACACCCGUGGCGAAGGCGGCUCUCUGGGGACGGUACU
rnacentral:rRNA from 1 species